CAGAGGUCCCAAGCGUUGUUCGGAUUCACUGGGCGUAAAGGGUGCGUAGGCGGUCGGGUAAGUCUGAUGUGAAAUCUCACAGCUUAACUGUGAAACUGCAUUGGAUACUAUCCGGCUCGAGGAAUGGAGGGGGAGACUGGAAUACUUGGUGUAGCAGUGAAAUGCGUAGAUAUCAAGUGGAACACCAGUGGCGAAGGCGAGUCUCUGGACAUUUCCUGACGCUGAGGCACGAAAGCCAGGGGAGCAAACGGGAUUAGAUACCCCCGGUAGUCCUGGCCCUAAACGGUGCGCAUUUGCUGUGAGUGGAAUCGACCCCGCUCGUGGCGAAGCUAACGCGUUAAAUGCGCCGCCUGGGAAAUACGGCCGCAAGGUUA
rnacentral:rRNA from 1 species